GGGCGUGUGGUCUAGUGGUAUGAUACCCGCUUUGGGCAUGCGGGUGGCCCGGGGUUCAAUUCCCCGCUCGCCCC